AGUGAACGCUGUCGGUAGGCCUAACACAUGCAAGUCGAACGGCAGCACAGUACGUGCUCGUUGUUACGGGUGGGGAGUGGCGGGUGGGUCAUGGAUAUAUCGGUAGCUACUUUUUCGUGGGGGCUGAAGUAGGGACACUUACGCCAAUCCUGCUUAGGAAGUAAGGGUGAAAUCAGCGGAUCUUAGGCUCUUAGGUGAUUGAAUGAGGCUAUGUCGGAUUAGCUAGUUGGCGGGGUAAAGGCCCACCAAGGCGACGAUCCGUAGCUGGUCUGAGAGGAUGAUCAGCCACACUGGAACUGAGACACGGUCCAGACUCCUACGGGAGGCAGCAGUGGGGAAUAUUGGACAAUGGGCGCAAGCCUGAUCCAGCCAUACCGCGUGUGUGAAGAAGGCCUUCGGGUUGUAAAGCACUUUUGUUGGGGAAGAAAAGCAGCAGGUUAAUACCCCGCUGUUCUGACGGUACCCAAAGAAUAAGCACCGGCUAACUUCGUG
rnacentral:rRNA from 1 species